AUCCUUAACAGCUAACUCAUCAGACCGUUUGGAAAGUAGUCUGUUAUCUUUGGGAGUGAGAAGAUUCCUGGCCACCACCGCAGCGGUCAUAUCAUUCUUCAUCACGGAAUCCCCAACGGUAAGAGGACCAGUAGGGGAAACGAAGGAUGGGUGCCAUAUGUUGUCUGGAGAAGGCGGGGCUGCCUCUUCAACAAGGUUCAAGUCAAAACGACGGUCGGAGGGGCCAGACAUUUUCAAAGGUGUUGAAAAGAGAAGAGGUCGGACAAAUCAAGAUCUUAGAAGUGCAAGAAUGGAGCUUCUGCUGGUGGAGAUUCAAGUGUGCUUUUGGAACUUAAUGUCAGCACCUAUAAAAAUCUGCACUCGACGGAGCUUCAGAAAUCGAAGAGGCGCCUGCUCAGAAAUCGAAGAGGCAUUUGCUUUCUCAAAAGCUGGGUUGCUCAGAGACCACGAGGGUCGAUCUCAGAAAUCGAAGAGGCGUUUGCUUUCUCAAAAGCUGGGCUGCUCAAAAACCACGAAGGCCGAUCUCAGAAAUCGAAGAGGCGCUUGCUUUCUUAAAAGCUGGGCUGCUCAGAGACCACGAAGGCCGAUCUCAGAAAUCGAAGAGGCACCUACUUUUCCAGCCUUAUCAGCACCUGUCACACGCACACUCAGCUUUGCGGAAAUUAUGGGCAUUUUGUCGAAGACUUCUGGUGAAGUAGAAAGCAUAUGAGUCUUACUGUUCAAUCACCCACUUCUCACACGCAACAGUAGCUCAUGGGUACCACAGAUAACUUUGCCAAAGUUCUCUGCCAAAGUUGAGCACGUGAAGCUUGCAGCUCCCACUACAUCGCUCUGACCAAGAAGGGUAAAAGAAUAGCAAAGAAACAGCACUAACAAAGUUUAGACACAUAAAUUUUGAAGGUCUAGCUACCAUAUUAUUACCCACAAGGGUAAAGGAACAGUACCACUGCUGGAUAAUUGGAAAUUCCCUGUGUGUCAACCUCUGUGCUUCGUGGCAAGGUAGACUAGCAAACAUGCCCAACCUUUACUCACAUUCGAGAAAACACUUCCAACAAGAUUGCUUGCUCCAAAAUCGAAUAGGCACCGUCCUCCAAAUCUCGAGAGCCAGACUCCCAACAUGACUACUUUCUCAAAAAUCGAAGAGAGGGUAAAGGAACAGUACAAUUGCUGGAUAAUUGGAAAGUCCUUGUGUGUCAACAUCUGUACUUCGUGGCAAGGUAGACUAGCAAACAUGCCCAACCUUUACUCACAUUCGAGAAAACACUCCCAACAAGAUUGCUUGCUCCAAAAUCGAAGAGGCACCGCCCUCCGAAUCUCGAGAACCAGACUCCCAACAUGAUUACUUUCUCAAAAAUCAAAGAGACACCGCUCUCCGAAUCUCGAGAGCCAGACCCCAGCAUGAUUGCUUUCUCAAAAAUCGAAGAGGCAUCGUUCUCCGAAUCUCGAGAGCCAGAUCCCCGAUAGGAUUGCUUGUUCGAAAACCGAAGAGGCAACACUUUCCCAACUUCAAGAGCCGGAUCUCCUUGGAUAAAGCUGUCUGUAAUCUUCACACACAACAUCAGCUUUCCAGAUACCACAGACCACUUUUUCAAAGUGCUCUGACAGAGUUAAAACAUGUGAAGCUGGCAGCUCCCACUACCGUGCUAUGACCAAGCAGGGUAAAGGAAUAUCAUUACUACUUAUUGUUAGGGAGAUUCCUAUAUAUGUCGACCUCCAUCCCCAACGGACAGGCAGACCUGCAAAAAUGCUCAACCCUUCCUCAUAUCUGAGAGGGCACUCCCAACGAAGCCUCUCGAAAUAUUCAGCUUUCUUUCCCCCCGAUAAUACCUCUGCAAACAAGCUAUACUAGAGCAAGAAUAUCUCAUAUCAUCAGGGUUAAAAGCAAGAGUAUCCCAUAUCAUGCUUUUUCCCUGUCUUUUCCUUUGGCCUUGUUCUUACCUGCAAGACAAGGAGAAAGAGAGCAAUCAGUCAGCACUUGGAAUCAAGCUUCCAGCCAUGAACUGACUGCCUGGAACCCCUUACCUGAUUACUUACCUGGCAUUGCUCUCGAGUACUCAUCUUCAACAUCUUAUGCUUCCAGGGAAGAUACCGCAUCUGCCUGAGAAACAGAUAGGGCAAGUGAGAAUGAUACAAGGAAGCAUGUGGAGACAAGCGUAACAGCACACGUGCCGAUACAUCCAUUACUCUGUCAAAGCAAAAGUAUCCCAUAUCAGCAGGGUCGAACGUACUCUAGAUUUGAUGGACUUGUUUUGACCCUCAAAUUCUUCAGUCGGCCUUAUACUCUGGAGGAAACCAGAAAACCCUCCAGCUCAGUUUAAGAAUUAGUCUGUGGAAAGUUACUUCUUCAAAAACAAAAGUAUCUCAUAUCAUCUCUUCUCAUUUUUCUUCUCUUUAUCCUUCAUGCUGCCUGCAAGAUAGGGAGAAUGUGAACAAUCAGCCGGAGCUCUGAUUGCUUACCUUGUCUGUCACCUCUUUCAGCAGAUCCCCUAGCUCGGCGACUUGGGGAACUCCUACUACAUGGUUUGUAUCGCGCUUGACCAAGCCUGAAACUACAAGUAAGCUUCAAGUGAAAUUGAUAUAUUACCUUGUGCAUCUCCCCUAGUUAAAGAUACCACCCCUGGAUAGAGGAAGAGUACUUCCAGAGAAGAUGCCACAUCUACCUAUGAGACAGAUAAGGCAAGUCAGGACGAUACCACACUCCGAUACUUAGAAGUUUCGUGAUUACGAGAUCAUUCUCCCAUAAUAUUUCCUAAUGUCAUUUGUACUAAAUCAUUCACUUGUACUCACUAAAGGAGAGCUUGAACCUAUGUACUUGUGUAAACCCUUCACAAUUAAUGAGAACUCCUCUAUUCCGUGGACGUAGUCAAUCUGGGUGAACCAUGUACAUCUUGUGUUUGCUUUCCUAUCUCUAUCCAUUUAUAUACUUAUCCACACUAAUAACCGGAGCAAUCUAGCGAAGAUCACAAAAAGCGACCGUUUUCGCUACCUAGGAUCUAUCUUGCAAGAGAACGGAGAAUUAGAUGGAGAUCUCAACCAUAGAAUACAAGCUGGAUGGAUGAAGUGUAAGAGUGCAUCCGGCGUGUUGUGUGACCGUCGUAGGCCACUGAAGCUCAAAGGAAAAUUUUAUAUGACGGCAAUAAGGCCAACGAUGUAUGGCACAGAAUGUUGGGCGGAGAAACAUCAACACGUACACAAAAUGGGUGUAGCGGAGAUGAGGAUGCUUCGUGGGAUGUGUGGGCACACGAGAAAGGAUAAGAUUGGGAAUGAGGAUAUCCGAGGUAAAGUAGGAGUAGCCGAAAUUGAAGGAAAGAUGAGAGAAAAUCGGUUCCAGUGAUUUGGACAUGUGUGAAUCUACUGACGUUCGAAGAAUUGACUCUGAGUUCCGGUUGAGACUACGGGACAGAGGUUCAGGGCCGAAUGGGUAGAGGAAGACCUAGGAAAACUUUAGAAGAGACUCUAAGAAAAGACUUAGAGUACUUGGAUCUAACGGAGGACAUGAUACAAAACCGAGCGCAAUGACGUUCUAGGAUUCAUAUGACCGACCCCACUUAGUGGGAAAAGGCUUUUUUGUUGUUGUUGUUGUUGUUGUUGUUGCAAGUUUUAACUCGAUUGGAAGUCAAACAAACUUUUCUUCUUAUGGGCUAAAAAAUGACAAGAGAAUAUAACCACAAAAUUCCACUGAAAUUGAAGGGUUCUAAAUAAACAACAUUAACAACAAUACAACAUGAAAGGAGUACAGGAAAAGCAGAAAUGCUGCACAGGAACGCAGCAGCUGAUACAGGGAAAAUAAUUAAAGCAAUAUUUACAUAAGAUGGGUGUUUAAUUCUGAAGGUUAUCAACGGAUUAUACCAAUCAUAAUCAUCAGAUUUUGAUAAUGAUUGUAAUUGCUACUCCAUUAGGGAUGGAAGCUCAAAUUUCAAUACCAACAACCAGUACAUCACCAUUUAGUGUCUGGUUAUUGUAAUAUAUUUGGGACUCCAGCAGCCAUGUUGCGGCAGAUCCUGUAUAACGCCAUUUCCAGAAUAAACGACUGUGGAACGAAAGCCUGAGCAUGAGGCUAGAACUAGAACUUGGUAUCGAAGUAACAAUACCAUUCCCCAUCGGGGAGACUUUAUAAGUGGUUUUAAGGAGAUGCUUCAAUGAAAGAACCCUAUAGAUGCCUGCUUCAAAACUGUAUGCUUCAAAGACUCGGUUUUUGUUUUCUUCCGGGGCAGAUGAAGAGCAAUGCAAUACUCUGCAGCUUCCCUGACCUGGAAAUAAAGUUGACAGAAAUCAAAUUAAGUUCAUUGAAAACAGAAAAUAGCCUUCCCAAAGUAUCAAUACAUGAGCUUUUAUUAACAAUUUUAGCUUUGAUUGCUUACCUUGUCGUGUGAUACAGCUUUGCAGUCGGAUUCUUCUCGGAGCAACUCCCAGUGGAUAGACACGAAUGAACGAUGAUUGAAGACGAUCUUGUUGAGGUACAUGACUUUUGAUGAAGACAGCACAAUACUAAACGACAAUUUUGCUGAGGAUUAUUUGUAGUUCUAGGAGAGUCGCGGUCUCCAAACAACUGCUUCUGAGAAGAGACAUCUUUGCUUCAUCUGGACACCUCGUUGGAGAGAGAUUUCCAGUUGAAAUCUCAAAUACUGGUUUUGCUGCUGUUAAUUUGAACUAACAGGCUCACCUAACAAGCUUUGCAGUUUCUAAAACUAGGGAAUGCUUAAAAACGGCCAAAAAGGACAAGAAUAGGCUUAGGUAACCUACAUCGGUUGUCAUGGACAUAAUCGACCAGAACUAGGAAAAGAAGUUUCUAAUGCCUAAAGUUCCUGAAAUGCAGAUAAGGGUGAUGUUUUACUUUUGCUAGAGUUCUUGGGGUUUACAAGUCCCAUAUUGCUGUUUUCGAUAAUUAAGAUCUUGCUAUUUUUCGAUAAUUAAAUCUUGUUGUUCACUAGCUAUUCUAGAGUAACUAAUACCAACUAAACCUAUGUUACUGUUGCUAUCUUAGACUCGUGCUUGUGACUCUUGGUAGAUUAGAGUCACUAAAAGUAGGGUACGUUGUUUCUUACCAGGAUACUAAUUACUAAUCCUGGUCAACAAUGAUAAAUCAAGAACCUAAUGGGAAAAGAGUUUAAAUCUCCAUAUCAUCUAGAGAUCGCAACUCAUCAGUGCAUCCAAUACAGUAAUUGGGAUGCACACCAUCUCCCGGCUCCAUGUUCAUUGGUGACAGCGGCAAGUAAUCUUGUAACGGAUCAAACAGCAGACCCAUAAAUUCAUCUGGAAGAAAACAAUCCUGGAUCAAGAAUCAUAACGAGACAAUGUUAAGUUUUGAUGUAAUUUUUGUGCUCCAUAUUGGAAAGUUCAUAUAAAACGAAGGAUACAACAUUCAGAGACUGGUUCUUACCUCUGGAAUCAUUUCAUCUGUAGCAAGAUCUUGAACACCAUUAGGUUUGCUAACUGGUUCAUUGGGAUCAUUAGUUGAAAUAAUAUACUCAGGUGGCUGAUGUGUGGAGGGGUAGUAAUCGUGUGGUUGAUGUGGAUGCGGUGGCUGAUGUGGUUGUGGUGUCUGCGGCGGCUGAGAGGUUGAAUUCGGAAUCUCUCCCAACGCAGAACACAACUGGUGGAUUAAGAAACACAAACAAGCAGGUGUUAAAUUUUAGCAGGCUUUGCAAGUUCAUAACAAAAAAUACGUAGAAAAAGCAUAUGAUUAUCUCACCUCUUGAAACAUAUCAGAUGCAGCUGGAUCAUCAUCACCAUAAACAUAGGUCAAAAUGUCAUUCCAGUUUAUAGGACAAGAACCGUCUGGAGACUCAGAGCUAUUAACAUCUCCUAGCUCUUCGUAUCCCAGAUGUUCCACUGGCCCUGCAAUCACAUCACUUGCAGCAGCUUGAUCAUCUUCCGGGUUUGCAGCUGAAUCGGCUAAUUCGCCGCGGGUUGGAUCAACCUUCGGCUUCUUAUAACUAGCUGACUUGUUCUUCAGGCGGCAGAGGACAAAGUCCAUCUGCUUGGUUGGUUUAGAACCCACCUCAGUGUUUGUACAAUAAUACUCAUGGAUUACCCAAUCGGACUUCUUUGCUUUUGGUCCACGACCUUCGUGGAAGGUCAGAAUAAUCUUCUUCCCAAUCACAGCUUUGGAUUCUUCGGCCCUGAUCUCCCGCUCAUCUCCUGUGAUCUUGUAAUAGCCUUGAUGCGUGAGCCGGUCGCGGCGAGUGCUGUUGGUGUCCUUGUAUUUGGGGUGGGUGAAGAAGACCCACUCCUUCUCAUUAACUUCUGGGACGAAUGCUGAAAUCCAACAACAAAACAAAAUGUUCAAAAUUUGAAACAACCCAUCCAACUCUUGAAGAACAAAAAUCACAAACACUGAAACAAGAUCAUAAAUUUUUGGGUGCCACAAUAUUAUACCAUAGGAAAGAGAUCCGGGUUGGCUCUUCAAAAGGGAAAGUAAAUCGAAAUACAACACAAAACAAAUUUUUUUUUAUUUUUUAUGGCUAGUGAAGAAAAAGUGAGAUAGAAUAAAGGGUUUACCAGGAAUAUCGCAGGGCUCGUACUUGCUGAGAUCGAUUUCAGGGAAGACGUGGCGGAAAUGGGAGUCCGUCCCCUCUAUCUUGUUCUUCAGAUAGUAGCUGACCAGCAACUCAUCAGUUGGGGAAAAUCCGAACCCAGGCAGUCGGCUCACAUUCACACGCACUGCAUCUCCUUCUUCAGGUGCGAUGCUGCUGCUGCUGCUGCUGCUACUACCCAUCUCUCUCUCUCUCGAUCAGUGUUUUGGAUUGUGUGGGGAAGCAGAAUUUUAGUGAAGUUGUAUUUAUUACACUCAUCAAAGACCCACUCAUCACUUAAGGCACUAGACCUUGGAAAGUUGACUAGUGUGUUUUCCAAGUCUUUGAGCUUAUGGUGCAAGUUCAUCUUUUGCUACCUACACUUAUGGGGUUUCUUUCAUUUUGGUCUUCCAACUAUUCCUUAUCACAGUAAUAUUGUAAUUUAAUUUAAACUAAAGUGUGAUAAGCUUUAAUUUGGGUGACGAGAGGAGAGUAUACCACUCUAGCUAAUUUAGUUACAGUUAAUUUUACACGAUUUUAUUACAAGUCAUAUUACUAUAUGCAACAACAUUAAAAGGUAUAAGCAAGUUUAUACGUCGGACGUAAUGGCUUAAAGAAUAAGGUCCUAUAAAAACAAGACAAUCUUCCACUUGUUUUUCAUCACAACUAGAAAGCUGUCUAAAUUGAAUUGCACACACCAUUUAUUCGAGGUUUUAUUUAUCAACCAACAAAUUAUACAAUUACAAAAAUGCCAAAUGUAUAAAUGUUCUUAAAACCAAUAAUUUAAUUUCGAGAUCAUUUAACCAGACAUACAAACAUAACAAAUUUUCCUAUAUGGCCACCACUGCAUAAAUAUAACCAAUCGAAACCAUUGGGAACCUAAACCAUUUAUUAGGUUGUAAUAAAUUGUCCUCAUUUUCCACAUUUUGUAAAAAUAGGGGACCAAUUUGGUUCAGAAAAAGGUUUAGAGACUCAAAUAGAACUACUACUAAACUCAAGGUGCAAGUUUCUAAUUAAGUCUUGAGCUUUCAAUACAAGUUCUACCUUAAACGCGUUAAUUUUCAGUUAUUCUUAUUUUGUCCUGUAGUGGGAAUCUUAUGAUUCUUAUUUGCCUCCUCUCUUAAGUUGAGCUUUAUUAAUAUUCUCCAAGAGAAAUACUUUUAAUGGUAUUAUCUCUUUCUUCUUCAACUUGCAGCAAACAAAAUACUUUUAAUGGCAUUUAUUUUUUGUUAUUGGAUUAACAGUGGGACCAGAGUCAACAUUAAUUAUGGCAGCUCAGCGAGUCAGUUACACACGCCUAGCGAGUUUGGACAGAGUUUUGUAGCAUUUCUCUUUUUUGGGUUGAUGCAAGAGUUCGUGACGACUGUAAGACUUCUGGAGACGUGGUUCCUUUGGGGUGCGUUUGGUACGUGGGACGGAACGGGACGAGGCGUUCCGUCCCGCGUUUGGUGCGCCAAAAAUGGCUGGAACGGGCUGUUCCACGGGACAGAUUUUGGGUGUUUUUGCGUCCCACCUCCCCCCUGGAACGGGUUUGUUCCACGUCUGUGGAACACAAUGUUUUACCAUUUUAAGACAAAUAUACCCCAUAUCUUUUUCAAAAAUUACACAUUCGUUCCGUCCCGUCCCUUCUGCGUACCAAACGCACGAUACUACAUGCAUCACAAAUAAAUACAAGGUGUCACUUGCUUCAUUUGUUGGCGUGAAUAACCAUUUUCAGUCUACACUACUUGGAUGUGUAUAACGAGAAUGCUUCAACAUUUGUUUGGUUAAUGAAAACAUGGGUUAGAGCAAAGGGUGGAACACCCCCAGCUCCUAUACUAACUAAUUAAGACAAAGUCAUGAAGUCAGCCAUUGCUCAGGUAUUUCCAAAUUCACAACAUCCCUUUUGUUUAUGGCAUAUAUUAAGCAAAAUCUUUGUUUGAAGAUCGUUUCUAUUGGGUGCUUACUUAUAUGAGAGACACUUUUUUGCCGAAUAUGUACAACUCAAAGCUCUGAAAGCAUAAAUUCUUUUUUUUCGAUAAAUUUGUGAACAAGAAAACUAUUUUGAAACAGUUUGUUAAAAAAUACAUGGUGGCUUUGCAAGAUAUGCAAGAAAAAGAAUCACAAGAUGAUUUUAAAACAUAGGAUGAAAAACCUGUUUUGAAGUCUUCAUCACCUUCUGAAGCACAAAUGUCUAUGAGUUUACACACAUAAAAUUUUACGAAGUUUCGAAAGGAGAUUUUAGGCGUUGGAGGAUGUUAUUAUUAAAAGUGAAUGAAGAUAAUGCUAAAAUCUUUUAAAGUUAAAGACUUUGAAAUAAAAAAUACGAGAGUUCAUGGUACUUUGGAUGCAAGAAAAGAGGAGAAAUGUAUGAGCUCCAAUUUUGGUUUACUGAAUGAGGAUAUGAACAUGAGCAUGACUAACGGGUAUUGAAGUUUAAAGGGUAAAAUGAGAAAGAAAGCAUGAUAAACAGUGGAGUCAAAUUGUCAAACUCUUCCUUUGACGUUGACGAUGACGUUUGAGUUCUCCAAGCUAAUUUCUUUUCUUUUUUUAAGAAGUAGGUCCAGACAUUGGUAAAAAAAAUUUAAAAAUUAUAAUAAUUUCUUAUUAUUAGAUCAAAUUUCAAAAGUCCGGAUUAUUUGAUUUGAUAGUUUUAGAGGAAGAGAUCUGAAGAUGAUCUCUUUCCGUUUUUCAUAACCACUUUUUUGUUUUUUAACGAUAUGGGUCCUAACUUGUUUUGAGGAUGGAAUGGAAGUGCAGCGUGUCUAGCAAGCCCGGCUAGCAAUUCCUAUAUAUAUAUUUUUUUUUUUUGUGAGAAACAUAUAUCGAGAGAAUCACGAACAUUCUAAACUCUUUGAUACAUGGAAGUUGUAAAGCCUUGCUCACUAAAAAUAAGAGUAAUGAUAGAUAGACUAAAAUUUUAAAUUAAACUUACAAACUAAAUAAUGUGUCAAUAAUAGAAAAUAAGCACGUUAAUCAAUAUUUAAGUAAUAAUCUAAUUAUCAACAACUAUAUUAUUUAGUUUACAAAAUUUAAUUUAAAUUUUUUUUCUUCCUAAUUGUUCCUUGGUUGUGAAGGCAGAGCAUUACGUCACUACAUUAUCAUCAUUGCAUGUCUAUGUGGAGUCAAAAGAAUGUAGUUCAAGGUAUAACAGAUUCGAUUUUAUAUUUAGCUGAGUUAAGAGUUGCACAAGUGUAUAAUUAAUUUAGAUGAUAUCAAUGACUGGUAUGCUAAAGUGGAACCUUUUCUUACUGUUAUACGAAUCUCACAUCGAAUAAAUAAUAGUUUAUAUGUGCUUAUAAGAGCAUCUUCAAUGUUGACACUUAUAUUUAAAAUGUAAAGCCAAAUUUACAUUCUCGUUUUACAUUUUCAAAAUGUAAAUGUGAGUUUUAUUUCAAUAGAAGAGAUUUUCAAAAUGUAAAUGUGAGUUUUAUUUCAAUAGACUAGCAUACGCAAAUUUGAUAUUCCUACCAAGGUCUAUAUUUUACAUUCCGUCUAUUAAAUAGCUUAUGACCAAUCAAAAAUGUAAAGUACCUAUUUCAUGGUAUUUUGUAUCUCACGUUGGAGAUUCUCUAAAGAAUAGGCUACUAAUCAUACUACUAAUUAGAUUUUACACAGAACCUCAACUUCCUUUAUGAUUGAGAGUAAAAAGCACUUACAAUGCUACAAUUCAUAAUGACUUUUCAGGAUGCGAGUUUGAAUUUAAUCAUCCAACAAAAUAGAGAUGAAUUAUAUUAGACCAAUAUUUUUUUAUACAACAAUUUGAAAAUUGUCUAGACUUUAUAUUGGUUUGACUACCAUAAAAUUUUUACACUGCCAGUUGGUAAGAAAUUUGCAGCUUGAAUAAUUUACUAGAGACAUUGCUAACGACCACAACUUAAAAUAUUUCAAAUUAAGUUAUUCAUGUGACAAUCUAACUCUUAGUCUAAUCAUUCCUAAAAUUAAAUCUCAGAUUCGAAUUCUCCUUUGCCACAUUCAUUGAUUCAUUGUCUCAUUGUCUCAUUUGGUCUACUACAUUAGCAGCCAUGACAUUGAAGUACCCGAAACCAAUAAUCUAAUGAAAAAAAUAGGAUAAAACAUUUACCACAAUUCAAAAGUAACACCAUAACAUUAAUGCGACGUAGUAUUGAGUGUUACAGAUAGUUUAGUUGUUAGAUUUGAUUUUCAUAUUUAUUUAAAACUUUUAUUUUCAAUCUUACUAUACCAGUCAAUGCUACUUACCGUUAAAAAAUAUUGCAAAAAAAAAAAACUAAAACGAAAAAAUACAUAAAAUACUUCAUUCAACAUUUUUUUUAAGCGAACUUCAUUCAACAUUCAAAUGUUGGAAAUAAAUCACAUUCACAAGAAUAUUUUUCUUUCGAUACAACAUUCUCAAGUCAUAAUAAUAAAAGCAUACACUCAUUAAAGACCCCACUUAUCCUCAAAGCACUGGGCUUUUGGAAGUUGACUAGUGUUUUUCCAUGUCUUUGAGCUUGCGGUGUAAGUUCACCUUUUGCUCCCUACACUUAUGGGGUUUCUUUCAUUUUGGUCUUCCAACUAUUUCUUAUCAGGUUUUUUUUUUUUUUUUUGUACGAAUAAUAUUGUAAUAUAAUGUAAAUUACAGUUAAAAUUACAGUGUGAUAAAUUUUAACUUGGGGUGACGAGAGGAGAGUACACUGUUUUAAUUAACUUGGAUACGAUUAAUUUUACAUAAUUUUAAUUACAAGUCAUAGCUACUUAAUACUACAGUCUAUUGGUAUUCCUUGUUACUUUUAAGUGAGAGGUCUUAGGUUUGAUUCUCGCCAAAUGCGAAUUUGAACCACAUUAUUGCUAGCCCAUUGUGAUGCUACACUCACCCCCUCCCCAUUAAUGUAGAUAAUAUCGUAUGUUAAAAAAAAAUUACAAAUCAUAUUACUACUCUAAGCAACAACACUAGUUAUAGGCAAUGUUAUAAAAAUAUCCGCCUAGACGUUUGAAAAUUAAGAAAGGGUGCCUAGACAUGUUAAGGCGACACUAGUUAUAGGCAAUGUUAUAAAAAUAUCCGCCUAGGCGUUUGAAAAUUAAGAAAGGGUGCCUAGACAUGUUAAGGCGUCCGCCUAGACUGCCUAGGCACCUGCCUAGCUUGCCCAAACCUGCCUAGGUCUCGACUCACUUAAACAGAAAAUAGAUAACAUUUUUUGCAUUUUAUUUUUUUCAAUAAAUUGUAAAAGACUUGUUGCAUACUUAAAUGAACACACAUUAUAUCCUUGUUCCCCAUGUUUUCAUUAUGUUCCAAUACUUCAUAAUAUAUAUAUAUAUAUAUAUAUAUAUAUAUGUCAUUCUAUUUUGGAGUUUAUAAUGAAAUUAUAUAUAUUUAAAGUAUAAGUAAACACUUAUUUACACGAAAUAUAAUAAAUUUACUUAAAUCCGUCUAAUCUGCCUAGGCUUCAACUCGCCGUUCGACUAGCGCCUAGUGUCUUUUAGAACCUUGAGUAUAGGAGAGCUUAUACGCUUGGCGUAAUGGGUUGAAUAAUAAGGUCCUAUCUAAACCAGACAAUCUACCAGUUGUUUUUCAUUACAACAAAAAGCCGUUUGAAUGAAUUGCAUACACCUUUUAUUAUUUUUUACAAGAAACGAUAAUGAUAUUUUAUUUAUCAACCAACAAAUUACACAAUUAUAGAGAUGCCAAACGUGUAAAUUUGCUCUGGAGAUAAUUUACACAAACAUAAAAAAUAGUAAAUUUCCUAAACGGCCGAAUAAGAACCAAUGGAAACCAUUGAGAACCUAAACCAUUUAUUAGGUUGUAAUGAAAUGUCCUCAUUUUACCACAUUUUUCAAACUUAGGGGACCAAUUUGGUUAUAAAAAAAAAAGGUAUAAAGACCGCAAAUUUACGAUCAAGAUUAAGUAAUCUCUUAAUUUUUUUUUUGUUGAACAAAUAAUAUUAUCUACACUAAGGGGGUAGGAGAGUGAACUAAGUCUUACAAUGAGUUAGCUAUAAUAAUGUGAUUCAAAUUCACCUUUGGUGAGGAUCGAACUUAAGAUCUCUUAGUUACAAGUAAACAGGAAUAUUAAGUGGUUAAGUAAUCUCUUAAUACAAUCUCUUGUAAUGCUCGAUAAGAAAAACACUUUUUGAUUAAAAUUACGAAGACAUCAUUUACAGGGAACGAUGGUUUGUUUGAUUUUGCAGCUGCACAUGGAAUGCCGAAACAAUGGACGCCUAAUUGCACUCGAAUAUCCUUUCUUUUUCUCCCUAGUUGGGUGUAACAUAGAUAACAUGUAAACAAUUAACAUUGUUGGUAUGGUACACAACUCAUAUAUACAUAUAGAAAGAGAGAAGAAUAGGCAAAUUUCCAUUCAAUAUUAAGAGGUUCUGAUAAACAAUACACAAGGAUACAACUAUAUAUAGAAAGGUUUAAGAUCUUAAACUACAACCAUAUAUUUUGAUAAUCAUACCAAUUAUACACAAAAUCACAUCUUAAGUAUCGAUAAUAUGUAGACUGAUAGAGACCCCAGCAACCAUGCAACAACAACUGCAGGACAAAUAGAAGCAUUGCCAUUAAGGCGAGAACUACGGCUUGGUUGAAAUGUUAUUACGUGGAGGACUUGAUUAACGGCAUCAGGCAAAUAUUUUUGGGAAAUUGAAAGAACGUUUUCAAUUGCUGCCAGCUACCUCUUCCUUUUAUUCGUAGCUUGAUUAUCAAAAUUAGACGCAAUGCUGCUAUAUUGUUUAUCCUUAUCAUUGGUUGAAAUAUUCUUCUUAUCUGUAAGAUAAGAAUCUUUAUCCCAACAUGUAGGUUGCCAAUUGUUGUAGCCGUUGUCACAAAUAUCGGCAUGCAGAACGCUUCCUAUAUAUUUUUCUGGUCGAACACAUGGCUGCAAGAUUAAGAAUCACAAACAAGCAAGUGUUGAGUUUUUAAUGUACAUAUUGUGCUCAAUAUUAAGAAGUUGAUGUCAAAAAAAUUGUUCAAGCAUGAUUAUUCUCACCUCCAGAGUCAUGUUAUCUGUAUAUUGAUUUUCCAAAUCAAAUGCAUUGCAGCAAUUAACAUGUGAAUAUUCAUCUCCAAUUUGAGGCUGCCACUCUAUGCAUUCAUCAUAAAAAAUAUUGGCAUCCAUAAAAUCUUCGAAUUUUGUGUAUGUUCGUGACUGUUGUGCGACAUGUAACUGAAGUAGAUCCAUGUCCUUUUGUGGCUGAACACAUAUCUGGAUUAAAAAUCACAAAUAAGAAGGUUAAGUUUUAAUAAACUUUUGUAUUAUUAAAGUUAAUAUUCGAAAUAUUCAAAUAAGCAUGUUUAUUCUCACCUCUUGAGACAUAUCAUCUGCAACUUUGUUUUCGAAAUCAUUCACGGUGAAGCUAUAAGGUUCACCUUCAUCACAGGUUGAAAUAUCAUUCUUAUCAGCAUAAGAAUAAUUAUUAUCUCCAAAUGGUGAUUGUAUUAUAUUACAAUCAUCACUAGUGCCAUUGGCUUGCAGAACAGCUCCCAGCUGUAUGUUUCCUGAUGACAGGAAUGUAGAGCAAAGGUAAUCUUGUGGUGUCUGGUGCGGUGUUUGAGGGGGUGAAUUCAGAAUUUCUUCCAUCUCAGCACGCAACUAGUGGAUUUAGAAUCACAAACAGGCAGGUGUUAAAUUUGAGCAGGCUUUGCGAGUUCAUACAAAAAAAAUGUAGAGUAUAUGAUUAUCUUACCUCUAGAACCCUAGCAGAUGCAGCUGGAUCAUCCAAAUCCGGGAAUUUCACGUCACCAGUUUCAUCAUCACCAUCAUCAAAUCUCAAAAUGUUAUUACUGUCUAUAAGACGAGAACCAUCUGGAGGCUCAGAGCUAUUAACAUCUCCUCGCCCUUUGUAUCCCAGAUGUUCCACUGGCUCUGGAAUCGCAUCACUUACAGCAGCUUGAUUGUCUUCCGAGUUAGCACCUGAAUCAGCUAAUUUGCCGCAGAUUGGAUCACCCUUCGGCUUCUUAUAACUAGGUGACCUUUUCUUCAGGAGGCAGAGGACAAAGGAACCCACCUCAGUUUCUGUAAACUCAUGGAUUACCCAAUCGGUCUUCGUUGCUUUCGGCCCACGUGCACGACCUUCGUGGAAGGUCAGAAACCUCUUCUUCCCAAUCACAGCUUGGGAUUCUUCAGCCCUGAUCUCCCUCUCACCUCCUGUGCUCUUGUAAAAGCCUUUAUACGUGGUCCGGUUGCGGCGAGGCUUGUUGAUGUCCUUGUAUUUGGGCCGGCUGAAGAAGAACCAUUCCUUCUCUUGAACUUCUGGAAAGAAAGCUAAAAUCCAACAACAAAACAUAAUGUUCAAAAUUUGAAACCAACCCAUCCAACUCUUGAAGAACAAAAAAACACAAACACUGAAACACGAUCACACAUUUUUGUGUGCAACAAUAUUAUACAAUAGGAAAGAGAUAUGGGUUGGCUCUUUAAAGGGAAAUUAAAUCGAGAUCAACACAAAGCAAAUUUAAUUUUUUUUUUUUUUUACAAAACACAGAACAAUAUAUUAAAAUUGAAACCAACACACCUCAAGAAUUCUUGAGGUACAAGCGAUAUUACUACUCUCAGUUAUACCAGGGGAGGGCAGUGGGCACUGGAAUUUAUGCAUACAACAAGAUCAUCAAUAGAUAGAAACAGAGCACUAGAAUUACUACAAAAAAAUGAAAAUCGAAACCAACCAAAUUCAAUUCUGAAAUGAAAAAAAAAAAAACCGAAAUAUCGAAACAGUAUAAUAAAUGUAAAUAAACAACAUCAGAAUCCACCAGAAAUAAGGAAUGGCUAGUGAAGAAAAAGUGAAACAUAUUAGAGGGUUUACCAGGAAUAUCCCAGGGCUCGUACUUGCUGACAUCGAUCUCAGGGAUGACGGAGCGGAAAUGGGAGUCGGUGCCCUGUAUCUUGUUCUUCAAGUAGUAGCAAACCAGCAACUCAUCGGUGGGGCAGAAUUUGAACCCAGGUAGUAGGAUCACAUUCACAUGAACCUCAUCUCCUUCUGCAGUUGUCAUGCUGCUGCUGCUGCUGCCGCCGCCACCACUGCUCAUCACUCUCUCUCUCUCUCUCUCUCUCUCUCUCUCUCUCUCUCUCUCUCUCUCUCUCUCUCAACUUUGAACUAUGAUUCUUGAUCAGUGUUUUGGAUUGUGUGGGGAAGCAGCAUUUCAGUGAAGUUGUAUUUAUACACGCUCAUCAAAGACCCACUUAUCACUCAAAGCACUGGACUUUUGUAUAUUUUCCAAGUCUUUGAGCUUGAGGAGUAAGUUCAUCUUUUGCGCCCUCCACUUUUGGGGUUUCUUUCAUUUUGGUCUUCCAACUGUUUCAUAUCACAAUAAUAUUUUUAUCUAAUUCAAAUUACCGUGUGAUAAAUUUUAACUUGGGUGAUGAGAAAAGAGUAUACUCCUCUAGCUACUUUGGCUACGGUUAAUUUUACACGAAUUUAAUUGCAAGUCAUAUUACUAUUCUAAGCUACAGCACUAACAGGAAUAUGAGAGUUUCUAUGAUAGGUGUAAUGGACUGGAAUAAGGUCCCUAUCUAAACAAAACAAUCUACCACUUGAUUUUCAUUACAACCGGAAACCGUCUAAAUUGAAUUGCACACAACCUUUAUUAUUUUUACAAGAACUGGUAGAAAGAUUUAAUUAAUCAACCAACAAAUUAUACAAUUACAGAGGUGCCAAAUGUAUAAAUUUUUUAAGAACUAAUAAUUUAAACUGGAGAUAAUUUACAUAGACAUAAAAAACAGUAAAUCUCCUAUAUGGCCAGCACCACAUGAAUAAGAACAAAAGAAAACCAUUGAGAACCUAAACCAUUAUAAAGUUAUAAUGAAUUGUCGAGAAAUUUUUUUAGAGUGUUGAGAACAAAGUUGAAGACAUUAGAUGUCAUAAUACAAUUAGUUAGAGAUUCUAUGGAUUAUCAACAUUUUACCACAUUUUUAAAAGUUACGUGACCCAUUUGGUCCAAAAAAAAAAAAGGUUUAAAGACCUAAAUGUAAUAACUACUAAAACUCAAGGGGCAAAUUUAUAAUUAAGUCUCGACCUUCGAGUACAAGUUCUAGCUUUAACGCGUUAAUUUUUAGUUAAUUUUAUUCUGACAUAUAGUGGGAAUGAUAAAAUCGAGAGAACUCCAGAACAUUCUGGAGUCUGAUACAUUGAAGUUUGGAAAGCCUUGCUCAAAGGCGGAGCCUGAUGUCACUACGUCAACUGUGCAUAUCCAUGUGGAGUCACAAUAAUGUUGAUCAAGGUAUGAUAGGAUCCUAUCAGAUCCUUCUUUGUAAGAAUUUUGAAAAUUACUUUAUCCUGUUUGUUUUUCUGUUAUCCUGCAAUAAAAAUUUAUUUUGGAUUUUUUAUUUAAAAUUAAACAAAAAUAGUACUUAAUAAAAAUUAAUCGUACGAUAUACGAUUAAAAAAUACGAUAAAGUGAUCCUUGAGUUCUUCAUAAAGAAAAUUCAAAAAGGAACCUCAUAUGUGAAAUUUAUAGACGUUGCGGUAAUGGCUUUGAGUGUGGAUCCCACCACUUCCUAUCAAGUCUUUUUCACUUUGUAAUUUGUAAUUUUUGUUUUUUUUUCUUAUGAGGAAUCUCAUCUUGUAAUUGGAGAUUGAAAAGCCAACAUUUAAGCUUGCACCAUUCUUUUCUUUCCCUGAUGAUGACUAUUCAUUUUUCUUGAGUAGCACGUCAAUUUAGUAUCCACGUAUGUUUAAUUUUUGAAUUGAUUCGAAAAUUGUUAGAUCAAAUUGAAGGAUCAUAAAUGUGUAGAACGUUGUACCAGUAAGUGCUGAAGAAUAAUUAGUUUGAGGUUGUACACACGAAAUCCUGUGACAAAUGAAAUAAGAAUACAUGUCCAAAGAAUAUUGUGUUAAUGAAUUUGUAGGGUUAUAAUCUCUUUAAUUGAAUCCUCUGAUUUGAUCUUCGAACAUGUAAAGUGUGUAUGUAGGGAUUGUUAAGAUGAGCGCAAAGUCUGUUAAAAUCUCAAACCAUUCUCACUCUCAUUUCGCAAAAUUGGUAUUUGUGGAUCGUAUUCAUAGCUGCAGUCCUGAAAUUGGUAUAUAAAACAAUCAAUUUUAUGAGAGAGGAAGAAACAAAAUAUGCAAUUGAAAAUAAUAUUAUCUCUUUCUUCUUCAACUUGCAACAAAAUAAAUAAAUAAAUUUAAUGGCAUUAUUUUUUAUUAUGACAGCUUAGUUACACACGCCUAGCGAGUUUGCACAGACUCACCUAAGGGGCAAGUCUUCUCUUUUCUAUGUCUUGCAGCAUUUAUGUUUUCACCAAUUUUUUUUAAGGAAAAUUAAUGAAAAUGGUUUGAAAACUUUGAGUUUUAAUGAUAAGGAAAAAAAAAAAGGUAAAGUGAAUAGUACUAGAAUUGACUUUUUAGUGUAAAAAUAUGAUUUUUCGUUAAAGUAAACAGUACCAGAUGCUUUUCGUUAAAACUAUUUUAUUUUUAGGAAUUGCUAGCCAGACUCGCUAGUAAAGCAAGUCUAGGCAGUCUAGGGAGAAUAGCUAGGCACGAUGCGCUUCCAUCCCGUACUCAAAACAACCUGGGACCCACAUUAUUAAAAAACUAAAAAAAAUAAUAAAAGUGCUCAUGAAAAACUCAAAAUACUAGAGCACUUCAAUUGAUACUCGGAGCCCUUCUUAAGAAAAAUAAUAAAUGGUGAGUGCAAUUCAAUUCAAACAGUUUUCUGAGCAAAAUUAUUUCAAUAAAAAGAGACGUUUAGAACUAGCAUCGGUGGAUGAUACAAUAAUGCUUGAGCAUAUUAUGCAUAUGCAGGAAGAUAAUCUCAAAUUUUUUUAUGCAAUGGAUGUAGAUGAAAAUCAAUGCUUGAAAGGUCGUGAAGACUAUAGACUUUUGGAGACAUGGUUUCCUUUGAUACUACAUACAUCACAAAUAAAUAGAAGAUGACAUUUGCUCCAUUUAUUGGCGUGAAUAACCAUUUUCAAUCCACAAUACUUGGAUGUGCAUUGUUUGGUUAAUCAAAACAUGGGUUAGAGCAAUGGGUGGAAACCUCUAGCUGCUAUACUAACUGACCAAGACAAAGCCAUGAAGUCACCAUUGCUCAGGUAUUUCUAAAUUCACGACUUUGCUUUUGUUUAUGGCAUAUAUUAAGCAAAGUUGCAUACACCGGUUCUGAUUUGGUUCUUGCUGGUUUACGGUUCCGAAUACUAAAUUAUUUGAACACCAAAUCAUCAUGCAUUCAAAUACAUCUUCUAAAACUGAUUAUAUAAAGUUGCAUACAACACAUCUUUUUUUAAUGCAAAUGUCUUUGGUAGUGGCACCAAGUCAACAAAAAGAGACAACUAAAAUACAUAUGCAUUGGUCAAACAGUUAUCAGUCAGCAAACAAAAAAUUUAUGAAGCAAACUGCAGAUUUUUAGACUUCAAAGAGCAAGCAGGAAGCAACAACUUUUGUACACAAUCAGCAGCUCCCCUCUUGUACACAAUCAAUUAAUCAAACAACAUAUAAUCAAAUCAAACAACUUAUUCCAGAGAGCAAGCAGAAUCAAACAACUUAUUUCAGAGAGGAAGCAUGGGCUUCCCCAUUUUUAAAGUUUGAAUAAGCAUCAAGAAAAAUAAAAACCAUCUCAUGCUCAACUCAUUCUUGCCGAAACUUCAAUAUAAAAGGUGUACAUUUUUACAAGCUCCAAAUAAAUCUAGAAUUAGAGUCAUAAAACACCUUUCCUACACAUCUUAUGCAUUUGCAGUGUUCCUUUCUAGUCAUACCCACAAAUGUUAUAAUUACUCAAUCCCAAAUUUUAAAGCAUUUAAACACAUUUUGACUGCCAUUAUGCUCUAAAUUUCAACUUGCUGCCACUGAUUUAAACAUAAUCUGCUGACAAAUUUCAACUUGCUGCCCCACACAAAUUUAAACAAAAUCUUAUGCAUUUUGACUGCCAUCUGUAGGUUUAAAGUAUGCAUUUUGACUGCCACUGAUUGAAAGAGUAAAUUAUAAAUUCCACUAAAUAUGAAUAGUAACAAAAGGGAACAUAUAAAAGUGAAAGAUUAAGGAGAAAAGGUGAUACGGAAGGUGCUAAAAAAAUUAAAGUUACAUACAUACCAUCACUAGUAAAAAGUGAUAAGUUAGGACUGAAUAGUUUAUGAAUCGCCAAUGCUAGAUGUGCCACCAUUCCUUUUUUCUAGAACAUAUAAAAAUUAAGAACUCAUUAGAAAAUAAGAAACUCCGCCUAUGUCUUACAUGGCCGGUCCCAAGCCCGGAUAAAGGAGGAGGGGGAGGGCGUCAGGUAGUCGACAGCCGGCACUCCAUGAUCACGUCGAAUCCUUAUGAAAAUGAAUCCAGAACAAAAUCGCGCUAAAGCUAGGGCGUCACCCGUAAGUGGCGCGCUGUGUGGCCUGAGCACAGUGAUAAGUGAGCAAGGGUCGCUGUAUCUCCAUCGGCACCCGGAUGCAGUGUUAAAUGAGCAAGGGGGCCAUAGAAACUUCUUUUCGAACGACUCCACUCAAAGUUGUUUGGGAGCAUAUGCUCCUAUCAACUUUACCCGGGACACACAAAAGAAGUACUUUGAUCCUAUUAGACGGGGGAGGGUGAAGAAGCUAGGACAGAAGGGUAGAGUUCAAGAGAGCAAAAUGCGUUUAGGAACGUGGAAUAUAGGAACCUUAACGGGAAAAUCUAUGGAAGUAGUGGAAGUUAUGGUGAGGAGAAGGAUAAAUAUUAUGUGCCUACAAGAAACUAAGUGGGUUGGUAGUAAGGCAAAGGAUCUAGAAAACUCAGGGUUUAAACUUUGGUAUUCGGGCACAAAUAGAACGAGAAACGGUGUUGGCAUCAUCGUGGACAAGACCUUGGUACAAGAUGUUGUAGAUGUCAAGAGGGUAGGAGAUAGAAUCAUGGCAAUCAAGAUUGUAAUAGGACAAGAACUUAUCAAUGUGAUUAGUGCGUACGCACCUCAAGUAGGGUUGGAUACGAGUUCGAAGGAGAAAUUUUGGGAAGAUCUUGGAGACUUGGUGCAAGGAAUUGCUCAGACGGAGAAGUUAUUUAUAGGAGGAGAUUUAAAUGGACACGUGGGCAGGGAGACAGGCAACUAUGGAGGUUUUCAUGGUGGCCAUGGUUUUGGGGAGAGAAACGAGGAUGGGGAAGCUAUCUUGGAUUUUGCAAUGGCAUAUGAUCUCUUUCUUAGCCAACACCUUCUUUAAGAAGAGAGAAGAACAUGUGAUCACCUACAAGAGUGGGUCGUCAAAAACACAAAUAGAUUUUCUUCUAAUGAGGAAAGGGGAUCGUAUAACUUGUAAGGAUUGCAAAGUUAUACCAGGAGAGAGCGUGGCUAAUCAACAUCGCUUGUUGGUGAUGGAUGUACAUAUCAAAAGAGUAAGACAAAAGAACAAGACUUGGAAGUGCCCAAGGACUAGAUGGUGGAAUCUAAAAGAAGAAAAACAAGCCAUUUUCAAAGAGAAGGUAAUCACCCAAUGUGUGUGGGAUAGAGAGGGGGAAGCUAGCCAAAUGUGGGAUUCCAUGGCUAGUUGUAUCCGAAAAGUAGCAAAAGAGGUAUUAGGAGAGUCCAAGGGCUUUGCCCCACACCAAAAGGAAUCUUGGUGGUGGAAUGAGGAGGUACAAACAAAGGUGAAGGCUAAGAAGGAAUGUUGUAAAGCCUUAUACAAGGAGAGGACUGAUGAAAAUGGUGAAAGGUAUAGAAAAAGCGAAGCAAGAGGCGAAGAAAGCUGUCAGAGAAGCUAAAGUUAGCGGCUUACGACGAUAUGUAUAAACGACUAGAUACCAAAGAAGGAGAGUUGGAUAUCUAUAAACUAUCUAGAGCAAGGGAAAAGAAGACAAGGGACCUAAACCAAGUGAGGUGCAUCAAGGAUGAGGAUGGAAAUGUUCUUGCUACAGAGAACGCGGUUAAAGACAGAUGGAGAGGUUAUUUUCAUAAUCUUUUCAAUGAAGGACAUGAAAUGAGUGCUUCUUUAGGGGAGUUGAGUAACUCAGAAGAGUGUAGAAACUACUCUUUUUAUCGUCGAAUCCGGAAGGAAGAAGUGGUUGUAGCUUUGAAGAAGAUGAAGCAUAAAAAAGCAAUAGGCCCAGACGAUAUACCAAUCGAAGUGUGGGAAACUUUUGGGAGAGACAGGUAUAACAUGGCUCACUGACCUUUUCAAUAGGAUUUUGAAAACGAAGAAGAUGCCAAAAUGAGUGGCGAAUGAGCACUUUGGUGCCUAUCUACAAGAAUAAGGGCGACGUACAAAAUUGCAUGAACUAUAGGGGUAUUAAGCUAAUGAGUCAUACAAUGAAGCUCUGGGAGAGAGUCAUUGAGCAUAGAUUGAGGCAAGAGACACGGGUUUCGGACAACCAAUUCGGGUUCAUGCCAGGGCGCUCAACCAUGGAGGCAAUCUAUCUCUUACGAAGAUUGAUGGAAAGAUAUAGAGAUGGGAAAAAAGGAUUUACACAUGGUCUUUAUAGAUUUGGAAAAAGCGUAUGAUAGGGUCCCAAGAGACAUUCUUUGGAGGAUUUUAGAGAAGAAAGGAGUACGAGUAGCAUAUAUCCAAGCUAUAAAGGAUAUGUAUGAAGGAGCAAAGACUGCCGUAAGAACUCAUGAAGGACAAACCGAAAGCUUUCCCAUAACUGUAGGAUUACAUCAAGGCUCAUCCUUAAGUCCUUACCUUUUUGCGUUGGUAAUGGAUGAGUUAACACGACAUAUUCAAGAUGAUAUUCCUUGGUGUAUGCUUUUCGCAGACGAUAUAGUGUUGAUAGAUGAAACUCAAGAAGGGGUAAAUGCAAAAGCUUAACCUUUGGAGAGAAGUGUUGGAAUCUAAAGGUCUUCGCCUAAGCCGAUCAAAGACAGAAUAUAUGGAGUGCAAGUUCAGUGCAAAUGGAGGCCAAAACGAGUUAGGGGUGAGGAUCGGAGAUCAAGAAAUACCAAAGAGCGACCGUUUUCGUUACCUAGGAUCUAUCUUGCAAAAGAACGGAGAAUUAGAUGGAGAUCUCAACCAUAGAAUACAAGCUGGAUGGAUGAAGUGGAAGAGUGCAUCCGGCGUGUUUGUGUGACCGCCGUAUGCCACUGAAGCUCAAGGGAAAAUUUUAUAGGACGGCAAUAAGGCCGGCGAUGCUGUAUGGCACAGAAUGUUGGGCGGUGAAACAUCAACACGUACACAAAAUGGGUGUAGAGGAGAUGAGGAUGCUUCGUUGGAUGUGUGGGCACACGAGAAAGGAUAAGAUUAGGAAUGAGGAUAUCCGGGGUAAAGUAGGAGUAGCCGAAAUUGAAGGAAAGAUGAGAGAAAAUCGGUUACGGUGGUUUGGACAUGUGCAAAGAAGGCCUACUGACGUUCCGAUUAGAAGAUGCGACUAUGGGACAGAGGUUCAGGGUCGAAGGGGUAGAGGAAGACCUAGGAAAACUUUGGAAGAGACUCUAAGAAAAGACUUAGAGUACUUAGAUCUAACGAAGGACAUGACACAGGAUCGAGCACAAUGGCGUUCUAAGAUUCAUAUAGCCGAUCCCACUCAGUGACUUGGAUUUUCCAAGUCUCCAACCGAGAAGUUUUCCUCACUCGGGAAAUUAAGGGAACACUACCCCAACCUACAUGCUCCACUCAGAAAGCUUCAACAUACAAGCUUUAACAAAAGAAAAUUCAAAGAACUUAGCGAAGAAGGCUUUGGUGUAUUUAACACAAUACGUUGAAAUGAAGGAAAGCUUAUUUAUUGAUAUCCCCGAUAAGCUACAAAUAUGUACAUAUACAUGAGUCAAAAUAAGCACACAAGAGGGAGCCUUCACAAAGGUUGCUUAGGAGAAGUCUCAGCAGCAGUCGGUAGAGCCCUAGAAAGAUAAGGCACCGGAGGGGGAUCAUUUGGAGCCUCAGUACUGGACAGAACCCUAGAAGGAGGAGGCAUCAGAGGUUGAUCAUUUGGAGCUUCAUUACGCGGUACAGCCCCAGAAGACGAAGGCAAUAAAUGCCUUUGGAACAAACCCACAAAUCUCUGAUGAUCAAGUAAAACCUGACCAUCAGUUUCCUUCAUCUGGUCAAGCUUCCUCUUCAUGUUUGUAGCAUAGUCAUGUGCGAGCCGGUGCAACUGUUUAUUCUCAUGCUUGAGCCCUCUAAUCUCCUGUUUGAGACUCAUCACUUCAGCCGCCAAUGAUUCAACUUGGCGGGUUCGAGCAAAUAGGCGUUGGGCCAUAUUAGACACAGAACCUGCACACUGAACACUGAGAGCCAGCGAAUCCUUAACAGCUAACUCAUCAGACCGUUUGGAAAGUAGUCUGUUAUCUUUGGGAGUGAGAAGGUUCCUGGCCACCACCGCAGCGGUCAUAUCAUUCUUCAUCACGGAAUCCCCAACGGUAAGAGGACCAGUAGGGGAGACGAAGGAUGGGCGCCAUAUGUUGUCUGGAGAAGGCGGGGCUGCCUCUUCAACAAGGUUCAAGUCAAAACGACGGUCGGAGGGGCCAGACAUUUUCAAAGGUGUUGAAGAGAGAAGAGGUCGGACAAAUCAAGAUCUUAGAAGUGCAAGAAUGAAGCUUCUACUGGUGGAGAUUCAAGUGUGCUUUGGAA
rnacentral:lncRNA from 1 species